rnacentral:rRNA from 1 species
UACGGUAGGGUGCAAGCGUUAAUCGGAAUUACUGGGCGUAAAGCGUGCGCAGGCGAUUUGUAAGUCUGACGUGAAAUCCCCGGGCUCAACCUGGGAAUUGCGUUGGAGACUGCAAGGCUAGAAUCUGGCAGAGGGGGUAGAAUUCCACGUGUAGCAGUGAAAUGCGUAGAUAUCUGGAGGAACACCGGUGGCGAAGGCGGUGGUCUGGGCCGGCACGUGACGCUGAGGAGCGAAAGCGUGGGAGCAAACAGG